rnacentral:rRNA from 1 species
CCUACGGGAAGCAGCAGUAGGGAAUAUUGCUCAAUGGGGGAAACCCUGAAGCAGCAACGCCGCGUGGAGGAUGAAGGUUUUCGGAUUGUAAACUCCUUUUGUUAGAGAAGAUAAUGACGGUAUCUAACGAAUAAGCACCGGCUAACUACGUGCCAGCAGCCGCGGUAAUACGGAGGGUGCAAGCGUUACUCGGAAUCACUGGGCGUAAAGAGCGCGUAGGCGGGAUAGCAAGUCAGAUGUGAAAUCCUAUGGCUUAACCAUAGAACUGCAUUUGAAACUGUUAGUCUAGAGUAUGGGAGAGGUAGGUGGAAUUCUUGGUGUAGGGGUAAAAUGCGUAGAGAUCAAGAGGAAUACUCAUUGCGAAGGCGACCUGCUAGAACAUAACUGACGCUGAUGCGCGAAAGCGUGGGGAGCAAACAGGAUUAGAUACCCCAGUAGUC